CACAGACACAGCAAUUCAGCUCAGUCAUCUGUGCUCCUGCUCCUUAACUGACAGUGACGGAGGCAUCCUGGACCAAAAGAACAACAGCGCAGCGUGACAGAGGGAAAUCAGAAGACUGUCAACAACACACGGGGAGAAAGUAGCCUCGACACGGCCCUGUUUGACUACACGUCACGGCUGUUUGACUCAGACACUCAGACAGAGAUGGAUAUGGUAAUGUUUGUUGAGUCAGACUCUCAACUUCUCAGUCUUUCUUCUGGAUCAGGCUGAUUUGGGGUGGAGUGACAAGGCUUCAAAGGCAGCCGGGAGCUCACCAAGGCUCAUUUGGGCUCCCCUACGCCAGGCCACAGUCCUGUAGACAUGCCAGGGUUUUUAUAACCCCGUUCGGAGCUACAUAUCUGCGUAAUAAGAUGUGCGAGAGAAGAAGACCGGCUCUCCUGUUGAAAUCCGGCUACUGUAGGAGAGGGGUCAGCGUCCCAUCCUCCUUGGGAACUGCAUCGCAUGGUUAACAUGAAAACAAAUGACUGCGGUCGGCCGGAGGAUGUUUGACAAGCAGCAGUGAAUAACCACAGCAAGGCUGAAGAUAUUCUUGGCCGCCAGCAUCGUGAGAAAAUGUGGCUAAGCUCAGAAAUAUUCUGGGGGAAGACCAAAAUCUGGAAGCAAUUAAGAAAGACCCAAAAUAAGUAAAUUCCAUAUUACCUCUGUGGACAUUGUAGAAGGGUGGCUGGCGAAAUGUAUUUUUUUUUGUGAGGUUUACUUUCUGGAGCUUAGCAACAUAAAUUUGUUGUCACUGAACUAUUAAACACAGCGGACACAUGUUGGCGGAGUUCGAAGGAAAGGUGCAUGAAACUGAUCAUAGGAUAGCCCAUGUAAUAAUAUAGGAAAUGGGCCCGCUGUUGGACUUCAAUAUCCCCCGACAACACUCAGCUGUCAAUGGCCUCCACCAUGGCCAGGAUGCAUGGCGGCUUCUGCCAGAAACACAGGAUUUAUCCUCCUUCACAUGGAGCCAGUGAGAGGAAAUGCCUACAGUCAGUGGGAAUCCAUAAAGGAGGGACGGGAGAGAGAAAAAAUAAGAUUAAGGGAAUGAGAACGAGAAUGAGUGGAAAUGGAAAAAGUCGUGGGAGGAAGGCAUGGGAUGAGAUACAGGUUAUUCUCUGUGCUUUUAAAAACAUAACUAACAUCCUUCAGGUGCUGAUAGAAGAGACAAAGGCUAUCUGGGAAUUUCACUUCUCAACUUUGGAACUGGAACGGUGAUUUAAAACCGGGUCAGAUUUCAUACAAUAACAUGCACACACCUGGUUAACACGUUAGCUCAUACUUAACAGUUGUAAAUCUGGAGUUUUAUAGAUACAUGGCAAGAUUAUUUAUUACAAUUUGCCAUCAAUAGGAACAGCACAAAGAUAUGAAACACUGUGUGAGUCUUCAGAAAAACCAUACAUACUCUCUUUUUUGUCCGUUUCGAGCUAGUCUGAGAGAGUGCUUGGUAACUAGAUAUUUCCUCGUACCUAUGGGAGAGAAAACUCAGAGACAAAAAGAUCAAAUUAUGAAUUUCCUACUCUCUUUUUUGGCUUUUUCCUUCAAAAACUCUAAAAUUGCUCAGCUGUGGCUCAUGUUUGAGCAAUAAUUGGUUCUAAUCCUACCCCAACAUAAACACUGUAUACGUUUACAAUUGACUUGAACUUGAGCAUUAGCUGCAAUAAAUCAGCAACCAAAUGCAUAUUGCAGCGCCAAGCUCUCAGCACUGGCGUAGCAGAAUAAAGCUUUGCGUUAUGCAUAACAGCAUCUUUUAACCAUGGUAAAUCCACUGUAACAUAGGCCUCUUGUGGCUUAUUUGUAAUGUAAAAUGGCUGGAAUGGCAAUAGGAUUAAAAAAAAGUUACUACAUUUAAAUUUUUUUCUGAAGAAAACUAGCAUGAAACUUAUCCAUUGAAAAGUUCUCGCCAUAAUGUAAUAUUGUGCAUUGCUAUGCAGUUGCCAGAGUUGCUGCUUUCUGGAAGAGCACAUGCAUAUUUUUU
ensembl:lncRNA